rnacentral:rRNA from 1 species
GUGCCAGCAGCCGCGGUAAUACGUAGGUGACAAGCGUUGUCCGGAAUUAUUGGGCGUAAAGGGAGCGCAGACGGUUGGAAUAGUCUGAUGUGAAAGCCCACGGCUUAACCGUGGAAGGUCAUUGGAAACUGUCCAACUUGAAUGCAGAAGAGGUAAGUGGAAUUCCAUGUGUAGCGGUGAAAUGCGUAGAUAUAUGGAGGAACACCAGUGGCGAAGGCGACUUACUGGUCUGUAAUUGACGCUGAGGCUCGAAAGCGUGGGUAGCGAACAGGAUUAGAAACCCCGGUAGUCC